GACAGAGGAUGCAAGCGUUAUCCGGAAUGAUUGGGCGUAAAGCGUCUGUAGGUGGCUUUUCAAGUCCGCCGUCAAAUCCCAGGGCUCAACCCUGGACAGGCGGUGGAAACUGCCAAGCUGGAGUACGGUAGGGGCAGAGGGAAUUUCCGGUGGAGCGGUGAAAUGCGCAGAUAUCAGGAGGAACACCGGUGGCGAAGGCGGGUCUCUGGGCCGAAAUUGACGCUGAGGAGCGAAAGCGUGGGGAGCGAACAGG
rnacentral:rRNA from 1 species